rnacentral:rRNA from 1 species
UGGGGAAUAUUGCACAAUGGGGGAAACCCUGAUGCAGCGACGCCGCGUGAGUGAAGAAGUAUUUCGGUAUGUAAAGCUCUAUCAGCAGGAAAGAAAAUGACGGUACCUGACUAAGAAGCCCCGGCUAACUACGUGCCAGCAGCCGCGGUAAUACGUAGGGGGCAAGCGUUAUCCGGAUUUACUGGGUGUAAAGGGAGCGUAGACGGUAGUACAAGUCUGAUGUGAAAGGCGGGGGCUCAACCCCUGGACUGCAUUGGAAACUGUUAGUCUUGAGUGCCGGAGAGGUAAGCGGAAUUCCUAGUGUAGCGGUGAAAUGCGUAGAUAUUAGGAGGAA